CGGGUGAGUAAUGCCUAGGAAUCUGCCUGGUAGUGGGGGACAACGUUUCGAAAGGAACGCUAAUACCGCAUACGUCCUACGGGAGAAAGCAGGGGACCUUCGGGCCUUGCGCUAUCAGAUGAGCCUAGGUCGGAUUAGCUAGUUGGUGAGGUAAUGGCUCACCAAGGCGACGAUCCGUAACUGGUCUGAGAGGAUGAUCAGUCACACUGGAACUGAGACACGGUCCAGACUCCUACGGGAGGCAGCAGUGGGGAAUAUUGGACAAUGGGCGAAAGCCUGAUCCAGCCAUGCCGCGUGUGUGAAGAAGGUCUUCGGAUUGUAAAGCACUUUAAGUUGGGAGGAAGGGCAGUAAGUUAAUACCUUGCUGUUUUGACGUUACCGACAGAAUAAGCACCGGCUAACUCUGUGCCAGCAGCCGCGGUAAUACAGAGGGUGCAAGCGUUAAUCGGAAUUACUGGGCGUAAAGCGCGCGUAGGUGGUUUGUUAAGUUGGAUGUGAAAGCCCCGGGCUCAACCUGGGAACUGCAUUCAAAACUGACAAGCUAGAGUAUGGUAGA
rnacentral:rRNA from 1 species